GGCCCGGCUCUUGCUGAAAUCGCCCCGGUAGCCAACGGCGGUUGCCCCCAUACCCCCGACAAAGACGUCGC
rnacentral:ncRNA from 1 species